rnacentral:rRNA from 1 species
AACGAACGCUGGCGGCAUGCCUAACACAUGCAAGUCGAACGAGACCUUCGGGUCUAGUGGCGCACGGGUGCGUAACGCGUGGGAACCUGCCCUUAGGUUCGGAAUAACUCCCCGAAAGGGGUGCUAAUACCGGAUAAUGUCUUCGGACCAAAGAUUUAUCGCCUUUGGAUGGGCCCGCGUUGGAUUGGCUAGUUGUUAGGGUAAAAGCCUACCAAGGCGACGAUCCAUAGCUGGUCUGAGAGGAUGAUCAGCCACACUGGGACUGAGACACGGCCCAGACUCCUACGGGAGGCAGCAGUGGGGAAUAUUGGACAAUGGGCGAAAGCCUGAUCCAGCAAUGCCGCGUGAGUGAUGAAGGCCUUAGGGUUGUAAAGCUCUUUUACCCGGGAUGAUAAUGACAGUACCGGGAGAAUAAGCGCCGGCUAACUCCGUG